CCUACGGGUGGCAGCAGUGGGGAAUAUUGCGCAAUGGGCGAAAGCCUGACGCAGCGACGCCGCGUGAGGGAUGAAGGUCUUCGGAUCGUAAACCUCUUUUGUCAGGGAGCAAAGUCACCCACGGGUGGGGGUUGUAGAGUACCUGAAGAAAAAGCAUCGGCUAACUCCGUGCCAGCAGCCGCGGUAAUACGGGGGAUGCGAGCGUUAUCCGGAUUUAUUGGGUUUAAAGGGUGCGUAGGCGGGUUAUCAAGUCAGCGGUAAAAUCGUGGAGCUCAACUCCAUCCAGCCGUUGAAACUGAUGAUCUUGAGUGGGCGAGAAGUAUGCGGAAUGCGUGGUGUAGCGGUGAAAUGCAUAGAUAUCACGCAGAACUCCGAUUGCGAAGGCAGCAUACCGGAGCCCGACUGACGCUGAAGCACGAAAGCGUGGGUAUCGAACAGGAUUAGAUACCCUUGUAGUC
rnacentral:rRNA from 1 species